rnacentral:rRNA from 1 species
AAGCGGAGGAACAUGUGGUUUAAUUCGAUGAUACGCGAGACUUACCUGGGCUUAAAUGUAGAGUGCAUUUUUUAGAGAUAGAAAUUCCCUUCGGGGCUUUCUGCAAGGUGCUGCAUGGUUGUCGUCAGCUCGUGCCGUGAGGUGUCGGGUUAAGUCCCAUAACGAGCGCAACCCUUAUCGUUAGUUGCCAGCUGGUAAAGCAGGGGACUCUAGCGAAACUGCCACCGUAAGGUGAGAGGAAGGUGGGGAUGACGUCAAAUCAGCACGGCCCUUAUGUCCAGGGCUACACACGUGUUACAAUGGCCGGCACAGAGGGCAGCUACCUGGUGACAGGAUGCUAAUCUCGAAAACCGGUCUCAGUUCGGAUCGAAGUCUGCAACUCGACUUCGUGAAGCUGGAUUCGCUAGUAAUCGCGCAUCAGCCAUGGCGCGGUGAAUACGUUCCCGGGCCUU